rnacentral:snoRNA from 1 species
GGUGCAAGUGAUGAUUUUAAGCGACCAAAGCCUGAGAGUUUGUGAUUAGAACUUUUUGGUAACUGAUGUACC